AUGCGGGGACAUCCUGUACUGUUAAAUAGAGCACCUACCCUGCAUAGAUUAGGCAUACAGGCCUUUCAACCCACUUUAGUAGAGGGGCGUACUAUUUCUUUACACCCAUUAGUGUGUAAGGGUUUCAAUGCGGACUUUGAUGGAGAUCAAAUGGUUGUUCAUCUACCUUUAUCCUUGGAAGCUCAGGCAGAAGCCCGUUUACUUAUGUUUUGUCAUAUGAAUCUCUUAUCUCCCGCUAUUGGGGAUCCUAUUUGUGCACCAACCCAAGACAUGCUUAUCAGGCUUUAUGUAUUAACGAUUUGA
rnacentral:rRNA from 1 species